rnacentral:rRNA from 1 species
CGCUAUCACUCCUACGGGGAGGCAGCAGUAGGGAAUCUUCCACAAUGGGCGCAAGCCUGAUGGAGCAACACCGCGUGAGUGAAGAAGGGUUUCGGCUCGUAAAGCUCUGUUGUUAAAGAAGAACACGUAUGAGAGUAACUGUUCAUACGUUGAUGGUAUUUAACCAGAAAGUCACGGCUAACUACGUGCCAGCAGCCGCGGUAAUACGUAGGUGGCAAGCGUUAUCCGGAUUUAUUGGGCGUAAAGAGAGUGCAGGCGGUUUUCUAAGUCUGAUGUGAAAGCCUUCGGCUUAACCGGAGAAGUGCAUCGGAAACUGGAUAACUUGAGUGCAGAAGAGGGUAGUGGAACUCCAUGUGUAGCGGUGGAAUGCGUAGAUAUAUGGAAGAACACCAGUGGCGAAGGCGGCUACCUGGUCUGCAACUGACGCUGAGACUCGAAAGCAUGGGUAGCGAACAGGAUUAGAUACCCUGGUAG